rnacentral:lncRNA from 1 species
UUUUGUUGGAAUAUUUUGGCAGAUGAACAGAUCGUAGUUGAACAUAUAUUACCUCUGCUUCUUGUAAUACCUGCUAUGUUCUGCGGAAGAAGAGAGCGAAAAUCUAACAAAAAUUAGGAUUAGAUCAUCAGAGAGACUCUUCAACAAAGAAAAAAAGAAAAAGAAAGAACAAAUAUGCAUAGAGAGGAGGAUUUCAUGGGAGUACAAUGCCAUGGACAGAUCAGCUGAUGAAGAAUGCAUGUCCUGUUUUUUGGCUCUUCCAUUGAACGCAUGCUGAAAACGAAGAAGCUUAGUUAGGGGUUAUAUUAGAUCAUUUGAAAUUGUGAGAUUGUUGUGAUUUAAACACCUCUUUUUCUGCAUCUAAAUUGUGAGAUUGGUGGCUGACAAUUGCUCCCAUUUAGAGCAGUGUUCAAAUGCACAAACACUUGCUGUCACUAAAUAGAACUUGAUAUCCUAUGCAUGAAUGGUGGCCAACCACAAAGUCAUUGUCUACGCUUUUCCGGUGCAAGUUUUAAGAAAGGGCCAAACAUUGGGAAUAAUCACCUGUAAUGGUAACAAAUACACAUACCCCUUAAUGUUUAGACCUCAAAACCUUGUACAAAAGCAAUUUAAAAUCUUAGUAAAAUGCUACCUUCAUCAGCCUUAUAUUUGCACAUAUAUGCUUCAAUAUAUAAAUAAUGAAACAUUUUAUUAGCCUCACCUCCAGUUAUUCUGAAGCAAGAUUCUUUCCUGUUGCGACCCCAACCCUGUUUAGUUUACUUGACAAGGACAUUGUGCGUUUAAGCUCUCUCAACAUGCCUCCAACAAGAACCUCCCAAUAGCUAGUAGUCAUUUGGCAUAUGUAUUACAACUCUUGACAUACUCCAUUUACAUCAUUUGUAUCAGAUCAAUUAGAGAUUAGAGGGAAAUUGGUGACAUAUAUUACCAUUUUGUGUUGUUGGAAAUUUUGGCAUAUAAACAAAUCGUAGUAGAAAUUAUGGCCUCUGCUUCUUGUAAUGCAAGCUAUGCUCUGCCGAAGAAAUCUAACAAAAAAUAAGAUUAGAUCAUCAGAGGGACUCUUCAACAAUGAAAUUCCGAAUAAAUCUACAAAAUUUGUGUCAUUCUUCAAAAAAGGAAAAACAAAAGAAAACAAAAAAUGUGUUUACAGAGGAGUAGAAUGCCAUAGACAGAUCAGCUGAUGAAGAAUGUAUGUACAUUUUGUUUUUUGCCUCUACCAUUGAAUUCAUGCUAAAAUCUUAAGGUUGUCAAAUACCUUUCAUCAAAAUAGACUCCAAUGGGUUACUGCAAAAAUUAGGAAAAUAUUAUGAAAAAUGAGAAAUACAAAAUUCACACGAUCACCCAUGAAAUAAAUCAUCCUCCACAUCAAUGUUUAUUUUAAAGAUUUUUUAGAAUUAAAUUAUUAGAAGCAAGUCUAUGAAAUGAGAGAUAUGAAAAGAAGCGCUCCUAUUACAUCAUUUCAAUUCUCAAAUUAAAUUACCCCCUCUUUUUAUGCAUAUAAUUUAUUGUAGUUGACAAAUGCCUUUCCCCAAUGCCUUACUGGACAAAUUACCAAAUUAUUAUGAAAGAUGGUAAGUAAAAUGUAGGAUUAAAACAAAGGAAUUUCAAUUGAAUAAUAUUUUAACAGUAAACAUCUAGCUUGAAUGUUAUUAGAAUAAAAAAUAGCAUGAGACACCAGAGUUAACAAACCUGAUUAACCACUCAAUUUUUUCUUGAAAAUAAACUAAGGUCAUAAAAAUAAAUAAUUGGAAAGGAUGUACCAACCUGAUUACAACUGAAUAUAGUUGUAAUAAAUAUGUGGGAUGUGAGCAAUUUUAUGCCAAUCAGCGCCAAUUUCCUUCCGAAAUCUUUCCUCCAACUGAGGAACUCCUUUUAUAUAUAACCGUUGCAAAUUGGUUAGGCAACGCAUCUCGUCUGGAAGUUAAAUUGGGCAAAUUCCUGAGAGGGAGCUCUUGCAGAUUUGUUAGAUGUUGAAUCCACUCCGGAAGUUGCCAACACUUUGGAAUAUUUUCCAGCGAUAGAGAGCGCAGGCUUGUAUGAUCUUGGAAUAUUUGGAACUUAGGUGCUGAUAACUCCAGCUCGUUGCAAUUACUUAUUGAAAACUCUUCAAGGGAAGUGAGAUGUUGGAACACAGGAAAGAGUGACCUCAAUCCAUUGCAAUUAUGGAUUUCUAAUGUUUUCAAUUCAACAAGUUGUUGAAGCCCAAGAGGGAGAGACACCAGCUGUGGAAUAUUAUUAAUCUUAAAAAAAGAGAGAUUCUUAAGGGGUUCCCAUUGCAUGCCCUCUAAAUCAACCUUCGUGCAACCAUCUAUUGUUAAUCUUUUGAGGCUGGUGAGAUGUUGCAGGGACUCAUCUAGCAUGGGAGUGUCCAGAUCCUCCAUAUUCUUUGCAUGGAAAGAUUUCAAUUUGGAGAGAGGAAGAGAAGAGGUUGAACUUGAUGGGGUCUUAGCAUCCAUGUUCUGUUGAAACAAAUGCAGCAACCAAUCUCAAAACAAACCAAGUUUUGAUAAGAAUGCCAGUAAACGAAAGUUUGAAAAUGAGAGGAAAUUUGAAAAACAAGAAGAUUGAGCUAAAAAGCCUUCAUUUUCAUUGAUAAUACCAGAUUAUAUGUAAAUUACAAAAAGAAGUUGACAGUUACCUAACAAUGUAACUGCUCCCACUUAUACUUGACUAAUACAAGACUGAAAUUCAAAUUAAAGCUAGCUGAUACAUCAGCCAUUACAUCAAGUACAAAUCAAAAAUCUUACUAACUUAGAUUACAAAUUACAAACUAACUAAGCAAAUUACAUUUGAACAAAAUGAAACCAAAAUGUACCAAGCUGUUGCUACUCUCGGUUCUGCUACUUUUCUGGUCUACUUGAAGAAGCUGCUAGUCAUAUGUUGCAUUGCAGGCCAAUGCUCAACACUCCUCCUUGGACUGUAUGCAACAUACACCAAUUAUCUCCCUUAAGGCUUCAAAUCUAGAUAUACCAAGUGGCUUUGUUAGAAUGUCAGCCAAUUGCUCUUGUGAGCUGCAAUGGACAAGACUAACUUCUCCUGUCUGCUCAGCCUCUCUAACAAAAUGAAAUUUGAUCUUGAAAUGCUUAGUCUUGCCAUGGAAGAUUGGAUUUUUAGCAAUAGCCACUGCUGACUGGUUGCCAACCUUAAUUUCAGUAGGUUCAAGUUGCUCUUCAUUGAGAUCAUAUAGCAACUUUCUAAGCCAAAUGGCUUGAUUUACUGCUGCUGCAGCUGCAAUGUACUCAGCUUCAGCUAUGGAUUGAGCAACAGUUUGUUGCUUCCUUGAACUCUAGCUAAAUACUCCUGAGCCAAGGGUGAAGAAGUAACCUGAAGUACUUUUCAUAUCAUCAACAGACCCUACCCAAUCACUAUCAGAGUAUCCAGCCAACUUGACUCCCUUUUCAUUCUUGAAUAAGACACCAUAACUCAAAGUUCCCUUGAUAUAUCUGAGGAUCCUUUUGGCUGCUUUGAAGUACGUCACAGUACUGCAAUGCAUAAACCUUGACAAGAGACUAACACCAAACAUGAUAUCGGGCCUAGUUGCUGUUAAGUAGAGCAAGCAACCAACUAAACCGCGAUAUUCUCUUUCAUCAACCCUUUCUUCAUUUUCAUUGCUAGACAGCUUCUCUCCUUGUGCCACUGGUGUGCUAACACUUUUACAAUUCUCCAUACAAAAUCUUUUGAGAAUUUUCAAUGCAAAAGCAUGUUGGCUGAUGAAAAUGCCUUGAACAGACUGGUUUACUUCCAUACCAAGGAAGUAUGUCAUGAUUCCUAGAUCUGUCAUCUCAAAUACUUCCAGCAUUUGUUCUUUAAACUCACUAAUCAAUUUUUCCUUGUUUCAGUCACAAGUAAAUCAUCUACAUAGAGUGACACGAUCAGUAAGGUUUUACCUUCUAAUCUCUUCACAUAGAGUGUGGCUUCACUUACACUCUUUUCAAAUCCAAGCCUAGACAGGUAAGUAUUUAUCCUGUCAUACCAGGCUCUUGGUGCCUGCUUCAGACCAUACAGGGCUUUCUUUAGUCUAUAAACCUUAUCCUCUUCUCCUGGGACUUUAAACCCUUCUGGUUGCUCUAUGUAAAUUUCCUCUUUCAGAAAACCAUUUAAAAAGGCUGACUUGACAUCCAAUUGGUGAAUCUUCCACUAUUUUUGUGCAGCCAAGGCAAAGAGAAGCUUGAUUGUGUCAAGCCUAGCUACUGGAGCAAAUGUCUCCAUGAAAUCAGUGUCAUACUCUUGACUAUAGCCCUUUACCACCAAUCUUGCUUUAUGUUUGUUUAAAGAGCCAUCAGAGCUGAAUUUGGCUCUAAAAACCCACUUGACACCUAUGACCUUCUUCUGAUCUGGCCUAUCAACCAAGUCCCAUGUUUCAUUCUUCCUGAUCAUCUCAAGCUCAGCUUCCAUUGCUUCCUUCCAGCUUCUGUCUCUUGCAGCUUCUUUAUAGCUUGAAGGCUCAACUAUUGCUAUAUUGCAGCGAUGGUAGAUAUCAGCAAUGGUUCUGGUUCCUCUCACAGGAGGAUCAUCAAUAUUUUCACUUUCUGGUUCAUUCUCAACUGGCUCUAAGCUGAUGUCAAGUUGAUCUCCAUCAAUCUGACUUGCAUCUGAACCUUCCCAAUUCCAAAACUUUUCUUCAUCAAAUUUGAUGUCUCUGCUCACCAAAAUUUUCUUUGUUGAAGGGUCAUACAAUCUAUAGCCUUUUUUACUACUGCUAUAGCCAACAAAUAUGCCAGGGGCAGACCUUUUCUCAAGUUUGGUUCUUCUUUCAGCUGGAAUUAGCACAUAGCACACACAUCCAAACACUUUCAGAUGGGAAACUGAUGGUUUGAGUCCUUGCCAUGCCUCAAACGGUGUUUUGUCCUUGACAGCUCUUGUUGGAAGCUUGUUCAGCAGAUAGACUGAGGUGUUGACAGCUUCUGUCCAAAAGUUACUUGGAAGCUUGCUUUGAAACAGUAAAUAUCUGGCCAUAUUCAUCACUAUUCUAUUUUUUCUUUCACAAACUCUAUUUUGUUGUGGAGUAUAGACAGUGGUUAGCUGAUGAUGGAUACCUGCAUGCUCACAAAGCUCUUAAAACCUCUCAGACAAGUAUUCAGCCCCAUUGUCAGUUCUUAGUGCCUUAAUCUUACAGCCUGUCUGGUUUUUCACUAGUGCCUUAAAUUUGCUAAAGGCUUCAAACACUUCAGACUUUUGUUUCAUGAAAUGAACCCAACAAAAUCUGGUCAGAUCAUCAAUGAACAAUACAAAAUACUUGCUGUCAUUUAAAGAAGGGGACUUCAUUGGUCCACAAAUAUCAGAGUGCACCAGUUCAAGCCUUUCUUGAGCUCUCCAAGCUUGGUUUACUGGAACUGGCAAUCUGGCUUGCUUACCAAACUGGCAAACAUCACAAACACUGUCACUUGCUUCCACUUUAGACAUAUCCUCCACCAAAUUCUAUUUUUGUAACAGGUCAAGUGAUCUGUAGUUAACAUGCCCUAGUCUUCUAUGCCAUAAGCUAGCAUUAUCAGUCAAGUUUACAUAAGCUUUGUUUUCAAGCUUAUUAACAUCAAGCAUGAAACAUUUAUCUACCAUGCCUACUGUGAUCAAUUCUUGACCAUGGCAGUCCUCUAUAACACAUGAAUCAUUUUUGAAAACUAGGGAAUACCCUUUUUUAACUAGUUGACCAACACUCAACAGAUUCUAAUCAAUAUCAAGCACAAAGAGCACAUCUGAAAUGACUUUGUUACCUGAACAAGUGCUGAUUAAAACACUGCCUCUGCCUUUGGCUUCAAUCAGUUCACCAUUACCAAUUCUGAUUUUUGAGCCAUAGCUUCUGUCAAGAUCCUUGAACAGACUCUCAUCACUUGCCAUGUGGUGUGAGCAGCCACUAUCCACCAACCAAUUGCUUCUAACUUUGCUUGAAGAUGCAAAGCAGGAGGCUGUGAACACAUGCUUCUCCUGAGCUUGAAGGUCCUCAGCAGCUUGAGCUUGUAUCUGCUGUUGUGCUGGUGCCUUUGGUUUGUUUUUACAAACUUUCUCAACAUGGCCAAACUGUUUGCAGCUCCUGCAUUGGAUGUCUGGCCUAAACCAGCAAAACCUUUCAGAGUGAGUGGUCUUCUUACAAUGGACACAUGGUGGAAACUUUCUCUUGCCUGAAUCUCUCCUUGGUUUAUCCCUCUUGUCAAGCCAAGGCUUCUUUGUCUUCUGACUUGUGCUGGAGCUCUCUUUGGCCUUUGCUUGGAAGGCUCCUUCAGGAUGGUCUUCCUGCCUAUUGGCCCUUCUCUGCUCCAAAGCAUAAAGGGAGUUCACCAACUCAGACAAAGAGAUGGUUGUCAAGUCCCUUGAAUCCUCAAGUGAUGAGAUUUUGGACUCCAAUCUCUCAAGAAGUGUGGUGAUAACCUUCUCAACCACUCUACUGUCACUGAAAUCUUCACCAAGCAGCCUUAUGCUGUUGACAGUGACCAUGAUCGUGUCUGAGUAUUGUUUAAUGCUCUCAGACUCUUUCAUCUUCAGGUUUUCAAAGUCCUUUCUCAAGUUGAUAACUUGUUGCUACCUAGUUUUAUCUGACCCCGUGAACUCCUCCUUCAACCUUUCCCAUGCUUCCUUAGGUGUGCUGCAGGCCAUGAUGCGAGUGAAGAUUACAUCUGUCACUCCAUUUUGCAAGCAGGCCAAGGCUUUAUGCUUCUUGGUGCUCUCUUCAGCAUGCUGCCUCAUUCGAGCAAUAGUGGGAUCGGCUCUCAAUGGAGGUGGUUCGAUGUCAUUCUCAACUACACUCCACAAGUCUUGAGCUUGAAGGUAUGUUUCCAUUUUGACUACCCAAAUGUGUUAGUUCUCACCAGCAAACACUGGGGGUGGAGGAGAUGUGAAACUCAUCUUGCUGAAACAACCUCAACAGCUUCGAUCUCCUGUUCUCAAGCUUGUGUUCUCUUAACAAAACAACCAACAAAAUAGAGGCCCUCAAAGACUUAGGCUUUGAAUACCAUUUGUUGAAACAAAUGCAGCAACCAAUCUCAAAACAAACCAAGUUUUGCUAAGAAUGCUAAUAAACAAAAGUUUGAAAAUGAGAGGAAAUUUGAAUAAUAAAAAGAUUGAGCUAAAAAGCCUUUAUUUUCAUUGAUAAUAUCAGAUUAUAUGUAAGUUACAAAGAGAAGUUGAUAGUUACCUAACAAUGUAACUGCUCCCACUUAUACUUGACUAAUACAAGAUUGAAAUUCAAAUUAAAGCUAGCUGAUACAUCAGCCAUUACAUCAAGUACAAAUCAAAAAUCUUACUAACUUAGAUUACAAAUUACAAACUAACUAAGCAAAUUACAUAUGAACAAAAUGAAACCAAAAUGUACCAAGCUAUUGCUACUCUCAGUUCUGCUACUUUUCUGGUCUGCUUGAAGAAGCUGCUGGUCACAUGUUGCAUUGCAGGCCAAUGCUCAACAUGUUCAUCUUGAUAGUCCGCUUAAACGGCAAUGAACUGGUAUUCACCAACCUUAGAUCACCAUCGACUGAUGGAUACAAUGGCAUUGAAGUCAAAGGGAAAUUUUGAAUCCAUAAAGUGGAAAGAUAAAGAAAUGCCAUGGUUGACGUUCCCAUAACUGUUGUGUCGUCCUCGUCGGAAUCAUCAUCGAUUGGUUUUCUUGUCGUCCACCAACUCUUCAUAUUCUUGCAAUUCACGAGUUGAAGAUACUUGAGCGAUGGGAAGAAUGAUUCUGGUUCUCCUUGACUUCCUUUUGGGCUGUAUCCAUGUACUCCAGCGCAGAACAAUCAAGAAUCCUCAAAUCUUGAAGACAAGGCAAUUGAGCAACGGACGGGAGAUAUUUGACUUUAUUAGGACCCUCUAUGUUAAUAUCAACGAGAUUUGUGAGCAAAGAAAGCAAACUUGGAAAUUUCGCAUCACCCCCCAUUCAUAGAUUUGGAGCUUCUUGAGAUUAAGAUGGGGCCGGAGGUCUUUAAGCAACUUAUUGUCAUCAUCAUCAUUAUCACCAUUCCAUUGUAAAAUCAACGAUCCCAAAUGUUGCUUCCCUUCCAAAAUAGGAGUCUUAAACUUCUCUUUUGUAUUUUUUACAAAUCUCAAAUUUGUUAUUUUAAGCUGUCCCCUUAAGUUGUUAAGCCCACUCAAUUCACUUAGAUCUGCACCGUCAUGGGAACCAUAUCUAUCCACUACAAACAUGCUUAACUCCUCAAGUGAAGUCAACUUUCCUAUUCCACGUGGCAUGUGAGUUAAAUCAUCACAUCUAUAACAUUUAAGAUGGGUAAGAUUCACCAAUUUUUCAAUCUUCUUCGGCAAUUCUUUAAGCCAUCGACACUGGUCAAGUUUAAGCACUUUCAAAUUUUGUAUCUUGCAAAUACUCUUUGGGAGAAUCUCAUGAUCAAUGCCAGAAACAUCAAGGUACCUCAAAUGUUUCAACUUAUGAAUGGAAAGUGGAAUUGUACUAAAAUCAAAAUAAUUCAAUUUUAAGACACGCAAGCAUCUAUAAUUUGAAAUUAUAAAAUGCCAAAUUUCGUCCCUCUUAUCUUGAUGUCUCUCAUUUGAAAAUUGUAAUAAGGUUCGCAAUUUCUUUCCUUUAAAUAAAAGAAUUAAUGAAUCAUCAUUAAUUGAUAUAUGACGACAUUUUUCAUCAACCUCACUUGCACUUGAAUUUGAAUCUACAAUAACACUCUCUUUCCCUGCUACAAAUUCAGCUAGAUCGUGCAUUAAAUCAUGCAUUUUACAUAUCAUAAAGUUUUUUCCUUUUACUUCUUGAAAGAAACUUCUUUCCGCUAAUUCUUUAAAAUAUCCAAACCCAAUCUCUUGAAGAGAUUGUGUUCCAUUUGAUUGUUUUAUGAAACCUUGUGCAAUCCAAAAUUGAACAAGCGUUUGUACAACAAUUUCAUAAUCUUUUGGAUACAAUCGGCAAUAAGUAAAGCAAUGCUUCAAAUGGGCCGGGAGAUGAUCAUAACUCAACUUAAGUGUAGGUAGAAUAUUAUCUUCCUUUUGAGAUAUUCUAGCAAGUUCAUUAUCUUUGAAAGAACACCACUCCUUUUUAGUUUCUUUGUAAAAUAAUGUACUAGCUAUCAUCCUUAUGACUAAAGGAACCCCACUACACCUUUCCAAAAUCUGUUGUCCUAUUUUCACAAAGGCUAAAUCUGUUGAGUCUGCAUAUCUUUGCUCAAAUGCUAUUUCUUUGAACAAAGACCAAGCAUCAAAAUCAGACAAGCCUUUUAGAACAUGAGGAUGACAUUUACUAGUGAUCUUGGCUACCUUAAAAGAGCGAGUAGUUAUUAUUAUCCUACUUCCUCUAGCCCCACCUAUCAAUAACUCUUUUAAACUAACCCAAUUUUCCCGCUUAUCAUUCCAAAUGUCAUCUAAAACAAGUAAAUAUUUUUUCCCACCAAUUUUUUCUCGAAGUUGUUUUUGCAAUUGCUUAAUUUUGAGAUUUUGAUCUGGAGCUUGGCCAGUUGCAGAUUCGAUAAUGUUUUUUUACAAUUAGUUUGACAUCAAAAACAUCCGAAACACACACCCACAUCAUCAACUCAAAAUGAUUUUUGACCAUUUCAUCAUUAUAGACAAACUGGGCCAAAGCAGUCUUCCCUAACCCUCCAAAUCGCACAAUUAGAAUGAUGUAAACAUUCUCUUCACUUUCAAACUCUAACACGAGUUUUAGAAUAGCUGCUUUAUCAUUGUCCCUCCCUAUUAUUUAAUCUUUAGGUGCAAAAGAGUGUGUUUGCUGCCUCUUUUUAGUCAUGAAAGAGGUUUCCAAGGGGCGGUCACGCACCAUGAAGCUAAAAGUGUUGGCCUUACUUUCAAUUGAAGCUAGUCUCGCCUUAAUGGCCUUAAUUUUCUGACCUAUUUUGAGACCGUAAGCAAACUAAUUUGAGCUUGAGAAGAAAAGGCGUACCUCUUUCAUCAGCUUUUUCCCACCCAUUAGAUCUUUCCGCAAAGUUUCGGUAGAGAAAUCAUCAAGCAAGUCGUCGGCAUCAUAAAGUACAUCUUUCAGGUCCUGAAGCCAAACUUUAACGAAAUUGUUGGUCACUGAUUUCUCUUCUGCAUCAAGGAGCACAGCUUUGAUGGUGGAGACAGUGGUUCGGAGGUCAUCGAGGUCAUCUUUGACAUUCCACCACAGUCCAAUUUGAGAGACAGCGAAGGAGCUCAAUUUAGUAAUAAGCUCUACGGUAAUGUCGGAAGCAAUUGCUUCGGCCAUUGUUGGUUCAAAAAAUGUUUGAUUACUGCAAGAGGAGGAGUAAAAUGAAAAUGAUUGGAACAAGAUGAAACACAGAUGUGGAUCCAUACAUGCAGAGACUAAGUAUUUUAUAGAUGAAAAUAAUAUUGGUCCACCAUGUUUCAUGUUUGACACAAUUUUUAUAAAAUAAAUUCAAUAUUCCAUUUAUUUUUUAAUUCCAAUUGCUUUCCACGAUGCAUUGAAAUUAUUCCCAUCACAUGCUGAAGGAAAUAAAAGCCAUAGAUGUAAUCAAAUUAUUAUAUACUAUGUGUCUGCGCUCAUACCUUAUUAUUGUUGUUGUUUUUAACCUCGCUAGAGCAUACAAAGAGAGUCUAAAUAUAAUUUGCUCAAUUUCUUAUAAAUAUGCUAACGCUCUUUUAUUAUAUUUUCCUUUUCUUAAAAAAACAAAAUAAAAAAUAUUAAUUUCAUAAUAAUGAAUAAAUAAAUGUAGCCUUAGCCCACUAAUUAGUGCAUGUUUUAUUUAUUCAAAAAGUGAGGCUAAAAAUCAUUGUUUUUCAAGUUAAAAUAAAAUACAAAAAUUAAGGUUAACAAACAUCAAUUUUCUAAAUUUAUAUGGUGCAACAAAUUACAUGGGCUUAAUUGCAAUUUUUUAAAAACAUUUCACGUAUGGUUAAUCAGUGUUUCCUUUGACCAUUUAUGGACGUUAGCGUUGCCCUCCAUUCUAUCAAGAAGUCCGUUCUCCAUAAUAAAACUUUCUAACUUAGAAACUGACCGUGAAUCGAUACCUUUUAAAUGCAAAAUGACAUGCACAAAAGAAAGAAAACAGUCAGUAUCAUAUAAUAUUAAUAAACAUAAAGAUAACCUAAGUAUAAUUCUAUCUAUAUUGAGCUCUUACGGUUUUUCUAUAUGUGGUUUGUUUCUAAAGUUUGAGGUACUCGAACCAGCAGAUUCCUCGAUCCUCACCCAUUAUAGGCUCAUUUGAAUCGAGUUCAGUUCAGGGGAAUACAUUUCCCUAUGGCUACAUGGAGAUGAAAAUCUCAUGAAACCAUAGGUAGUAUCCCGAAAGUGAUCCACUAUCCUGCACGGAGGCGAAAACCUCACGAAGGCAUAGCUUCUCACUCCCACUUAAGGGUGUGACCACAACGGUCAUGCAAAUGCAAUGCGUAUCAAAAUAUAGCAACACAUGCAAUAAUACAAACACAUGUAAUGCAAAGAGGAUUAAAUUUUAAUAUUUUUAAUUUCCGACAUUAAGACAAGAGAUAAUCAAUUACACGGCUUGACUCUCUUAUUAGUCCCCAGUGGAGUCGCCAAGCUGUCGAAACCAUUUUCUAAAUCGAGUUUUGGAAAAUGGGAAUCGAUUUUAAAAAAUGAAAACGGGAGUCGCCACCAAUCUUUUUAGGUGUGAUUGGAUCACCUUUAAAACAUUUUGUUUUAAAAUCAUUAGUUUUGGUCCAUGAAAUAAAAGAACGGAUUCGGGAGUCGGUUACGUACGAGGAAGGAUUAGCACCCUCGUAACGCCCAAAAAUUGGUACCUAAUUGAUUAUCAAAUGUCUUUAAUGUCGGAAAAUUAAAAAAUUUUAAGAUGUAAUCCUCUUUAAAAUACUUUGAUUUUGAAAAUUUGGGUUCACUCGUAUCAAAACAUUGACACUAAGUUAACCUUUUGGAAAUCCCUAUCUCGAAACGACAAAUCGCCACAUCCAAUAAGUUAGGACACAACACCUUGAAAUUCCAAGACAGUUGCUCGUAUUUUGAAAAUCUUAAAAACUUAGAAGGGUACUUGACUAUUCGAACUCAACGAGAAAAGUUGCAACCCAAUAAGUUAGGGCACUACUUUUCUCGAAGCUUUCAAAUACUAAGUAUUGCAUUUUUUAUUUUUAUAAAACUUUUAAAUAUUGUUUUAAAUGACCUUUUAGAGUGACAAUUCUAUAUUACGAAACAUAGAUAUUCAAAUAGCGUAUAUUACAAAGUAUUAUAACACUUUAUAUAAAUGCAAUCACUAUAUAGAGGGUCAAAUAGAAUAAUAAAAAUAAUCAUGCUAAGCAAAUAGGAAUAUACCCAAAAGAAAGCAUAAUAAAUGCACUAAUUAUAUACAAUAUAUCAUAAAUAAAACAUUAAAUAAUAUAAAAAACAUGGUAAAUAUUAAUGUGUAAAAUAUGUAUGAGUAAAAAUAGAUGACAUGCAUAGCAAAUGGAUAAAUAGAAUCUACAUAAAAUAUAAAAUAUACAAUCCAAUAAUUUAAUGUACAUAUGAAUGGAUUAAUAAAUGAAAUGAUGCAUAUAAUACAAUAUAUCAAUGUACAUAUAUAAAAAUAUGCAUUUGAAAGUAAAUUAUAAAAGUCUAAGAUAUUACAUAACAUAUGAAAUACAUAACAUAACAAUAAUACAUUAAUUCUAAAGUAAAAACAAAUAUUGUAUAAUAAUAAAAAAACAUAAGUUUUAAAAAUAUAUGUAUAAUAUAAACAAUUGAUAAAUAGAAUGAGCAUAUAAAAAAUGUGAUAUUUUAUAAUAAAUUUAAAAUAUAAUAUAUAAUAAAAAAUAUAUUUAUAAGAAUAAUAAUUAUAUAAAAAAUAUAAAAUAUAUUGGUUUAGAAAAAUAAUGUAUAAAAUAUCAAAUAUGUAAAAGAAUUUAUAUUUAUAAUGAAAUGAUUAUAUAAUAUAUAUACAUGCAUAGAAAAUAUAUAUUUGAAAAUAAACUAUAUAAAAAGGUUAAAUAUUAUGAUAUAUAAAAUACAUAAUCAAAUGUAUAAAAGAUAGAAAAAAAAUAUACAUAUUUGAAAAAUGAAGAAAUUAAAAUAAAAAAAGGGUUGAAAAACUAAGAUAGACGAAGAAUAAAAUAAGAACAAAGCAUAUAGAGUAAGAAUGCAAGAGGGAGAGAAAUUUGAGUGAAUGCUCACCAGAAUUCUUAUUGCUUCCCAAAAACUCAAGUGAUUUACAAUGAAGGGAGAGACCUCUAUUUAUAGUUGAGCCUCCCCAGAUCCAACGGUACAGAUCAAUUACAUCAACGGUUAAGAUUAAAGGAUAUCUACAAAUUAAAUCUCCAAGAUUACAAAAUCAUAUCUUCUAAGAUUGUAUAUCAUAUCUAAUAUUGCAAUCAUAUCUAAGAUUGUAUCAUAUCUAAGAUUGUAUCAUAUCUAAGAUUGCAUAUCACAUCUAAGAUUGCAUAUCAUUGAAGAUUAUAUUUCCAUAUGAGUCAAGCUUGUAGAUGGACCUUAAAUCUUUUCAAGUAAUGGGUCAUUCCGAUCGAGCCAAAUUAUAUUUGUAAUUUUGGACUGAACUUGGACUUCGUUUUUUUUUGGGGUUUAUUAUUUUAAAUACUGAAAUGAGUCGGGAAAAAUUGAGUGUCUACAUAUAUAUAUAUAUGAACCACAAUUCAAGUUUCAUGUGUAGACAAAUUCAAUUGUGCAUCCCUGCAUUUGAAUACUGUUUGGAAUAUUAAAAAUGUGUUUUUCAUGAGUUGGUACAUAUUAUUUGACAAGGAAAUAAAGAACACAAUUAAGAUGUUUACGCAGUUCAGAACUCGUCUUACUGUCUGCAGGGUCUUGCCCAAAGGUGAAUACACUAUGAACUUCACAGUACAAAGAAAUGAUUUAAGCCUAACCCCUUGAACACUUGAUGCAAUCUCACUUUUAUACAAUUAGGUAAACUCUCUCCCAACUCAUUUUAGCUAUGCAAGUGAAAAUCAACAUUCGACACUCAAAGGUGUACAACAAUAGCACUCAAUAAUAGUUCUUACUAUGAACAUGUGUGCUUCUUAAAAUUCACACAUCACUCAUAAAAUAAAUCAUCUAUAUAUGUUAAAUAUGACUCCUAUUUUCAGUCAAAUUUGAAAAAUAGUCUUUCAGUUAAACUCUGUUUACUUGUUUCAAUCAAACACUGAUUAGUUUAGAUUAUUUUAUUAUUAUUUGAUUUAUGAAUUUAGCCUAUAAAUAGGCUCUUUUACAACCUUAGAAAAACACCCAUUAGAGAUUAGAACUCAUAACACAUUUAGAGAAUUUUGUGUUUACGUUUUGUGGGUUCUUUGUUUUCGGGUUUUUGGAGUUUAGUUUUUAUCUCCAUCUUUUGUACUCUUCGUUCUUUUGUCAUUAUAGUAAAAUUAUCUUUGCCGGUGGUUUUUUAUCCUCUUUGGAGGGGUUUUUUCACGUUAAAUUUGUGUGUUCAAUUUCUCAAUUUAUUCUGCUAUUUUCUUGUUCGUUACUUAAUCGGGUUAAAAUCCUAACAAUAUAUAAGCUUGAGGAUUAAUGAAGCUCAUUCCAUAUAAAUAGAAACAAUAAAUUUCCAAAUGCAAUAUCUCUAACCAUUGUCAUGUUUGAAUUAGGAGUCUUCCAAAAGCAACAAUGAACCUGGACAUUAUAAAUUCCAACAUAGAAUAUGUUACUAACUCCCAUCAUUUAUUUACACCUCAAAACCUUUUGCAAAAGAGAUUUAAUUUAUUUUUUUACUAAAAUACUCACCAUUAUCAGCAUUAUGUUUGCACAUAUGUGUGUCCUUGUUCAUAUAAAAAUAAUGAAACAUUUUAUGAACCUCAACCUCACCACCAAAUAUUCUGAAGCAACUUCCAUUCCUUCCUGUUUGGACCAUCAAUAACAAAUUUAGCUGAAAUUCCAAACACCUAAAAGGGUGAUUGUGAAUUUGAACGCCUCCAAUAGCCUGUGAAUAGCAUAGGUACCAUCUAAGAUAGUAAUGAUAGGUAAGUGCUUAAAUUUGGAAAACGAACAAAGCAGAGCAUAUAGUACAACCAUUUUGAAGGGUAGCAUGCAAGCUUCAUAGGCCUCUCUCUCCGCAUCAAUGAUUUUUUUAGAAUUAAAUUAUUAGAAGCCCUUAAAUUGAAGUCUAUGAAAUGAGAGAUAUGAAAAGAAGAACUAACCAUGCCGUCCUAUUUCAUCAUUGCAAUUCUCAAAUUAUUAUGAUUUUAAAGUGUAAAGUAAUUAGAUGUAUUACCACCUCUUUUUAUGCAUAUAAAUUAUUGAAGUUGACAAAUGCCAUUCCCCAAACUACUCUCCAAUGCCUUACUGUACAAAUUAGCAAAAUAUUAUGAAAGAUGGUAAGUAAACAGUAGGAUUAAAACAAAGGAAUUUCAAUUUAUUUGAGAUGUCAAAUGAAUACUAGUUUAAUAGUAUCCAACUUGAAUGAAAAAUGGCAUGAGAGCCCAGAGUUGGAGACUAAAUAUACCACUCAAAGUUUUCUUUUUAAAAAAAUACAGUUAUUGUGAUAUCUUCAGUUCGGGUCAGUUGUUUAGGUCGGGUUAAGGAGAUUACAGAAUGAGGUAAAAUUUUCAAUAAUAAAGAAAUAAAAAUCAUUACCCCACUUACAAAAAAAACAAAUAAAUGUAUAUUAAAAUAAUUAAAAUGCUACUACCAUUAAUAAUUAGUGGACUUUAUCUUAAUUAAAUUGAAAAUAGCUCACAAGGCAAAAAUUAAAAAUAUAUAGACAUCUCUUCUCCCCUUGCAAGCUUGAGAUGUUGAGCUACGAUAAUUGUUGAAAUAAUACAAUCCCAUAUUAAAAAAAUACAAGGUCGUAGAGUGCUUGUACUAUUAUAAAUAAAUGCACUUUCUCCACUUUUAAAUCAUCCAAAAAAUUGACAUUUUCUUCAAAAGAAAUUUUCCCUCUUUCUAUUUGUAAAUCUUUAGCAAUGAAAUAUAUUUGGCUGUGUUUGAGGAUAUAAGUGUAAUUUGCUGAAUCUUGUUAAAUUUCUAGUGUUUUUUUAUUAUUAUGAUUUUCUAGAACAAUAAUUUACUUUCUUUUAUCUUAUUUGCACAAUACUAACCUUAUUCAUAUAAUAUUAAUUUUACCCAAAAUUUUCUUCUUCAACAAAGAAACUAAUGCUCAAUUAAAACAAAAACCCUAAAAUACAAAAGUUAAUAGAAGAUAAAAGGAAGACACCGAAUCUAGGUAUAAUUGUUUUGUAUUGCAGGGCAUCCAUAUUUUCAUCCUCAACAUUUGGUAUGUGAAGGGAGCUAAGCUAAGCAUUCAACCAAUCAUUAGGUGCUGAAGCGCUUUCAUUAAAUGAUAGUUUUAGAUAAUAUACACAAAAUUGCCUAAUAAUUAGUUGUGUUUCCAUGUAUUGGAACAUUAUCUAAAACACAAAAAGAGAAAAAUAUAGUUUUUCUUAAGUUGACACACACAAGUAAAAAUAAAGAAGAAUAAAAAACACAACCAAGAUUUUACGCAGUUCGGAACUCAUCCUACGUCUGCGGGACCUUGUCCAGAGAUGAAUUCACUAUGAACUUUACAGUACAAAUAAAUUAUUUAUGCCAACCCUCCAAACUUGGUGCAACCUCACCUUUGUACAAUUAACUAAACACUCUUCCAACUUACUUUAGCUAUACAGAGGGAAAUCAACACUGAAAAAGUGGCACUUAAUAAUAGUUCCUUACUAAAUGUUCCUUUAAAUCCUCACAUCACCCACGAAACAAAUCAUCUAUAUAUAUAAGCUCCAGGAUCAACCAAGCUUUACAUAAAUAUUUCUUCUGGAAUCUCAAUGCGAUGAGACAUUGCAAUCCUCAGAAAGAAAGGAAGGAAGAACUUGGGUAAUGGCAGGGUGUUUAUUAGUGAGCUAAAGAUAUCAAGAUCUCCAAGGUGGCUUCUAGCCCAUCAAUUUUCUCUAUAUAGCAACAAUGAACCUGCAAAUUAUAAAUGCCAAUACAUAUUAUGUUAAAAUUUAUGUCAUUUAGACUGAGCAGUGUCCUAAUGUAGAAGAAACACUUACUUUUACUAAAUAGAACUUUAUAUUAUGUGCAUGAAUGGUGGCUAACCACAAAGCCGUUGUCUAUGAUUUUCCACUCUAAGUUUUACGAAAGGGCCAAACAUUGGGCAUUGUCAUCUGUAAUAGUAACAAAUUCCCAUCUCCAUUAGUCUUCACACCUCAAAACGUACUGCAAAAGGGAUUUAAUUAUUUUUUACUAAAAUACUCACCAUUAGCAACCUUACAUAUGUGCUCUUUUAACAAAUUAUCUAUAUAUAAGCUUCGGGAUGGACCAAGCUUUACAUAAGCUCCAUGUAAACUGAAAUAACAAAUUUUCAAAUGCAAUAUCAUUCAGCCUAUCUUCAAUUGUCAUGCUUGAAGUAGGACUCUUCCAAAAGCAACAACGAACCUGGAAACUAUAAAUGCCAAUAUAGAAUAUGUUCAAAUUUAUCUAUUUUAGACCAAGCUGUGUCCAACGUAGAAACACUUACUGUUACAAAACCCAACUUUAUAUCAUGUGCAUCAAUGGUGGCUAACCACAACCCCGUUGUCUAUCCUUUUCCAGUGCAAGCUUAACAAAGGGCCAAACAUUGGGCAUCAUCAUCAUCAUCUGUAAUGGUAACAAAUUCACAUCCCAGUUAGUAUUAAUAUAUUGUUGUUCAUCUAUAAAUAAUGAAAACAUUUUAUCAACUUUAAAAUUCUAACAGCUAAAAGGGGUGCCUGCAUCAAAGAAUAUUGUGAAAUACCCCCCUCUCCCCCCUCCAUUUUCAUCAAACCUUAACCCCCUAGCCCCUAUUCAAAUUACUUACUUGACAACCACAUUGCGUGUUUAAGCUCUCUCGAACACAACUCCCAAGAAUCUGUCAAUAGCAUAGGUACCAUAUAAGCUGCUGACAUAUAUAUUACAACUCUUGAAAUACUCCAUAUAUAUAAUUUAUAUCAGAUCAACUGGGAAUUACAAGGAAACUGAUGACAUAUAUUACCAUUUUUGUUUUGUUGGAAUAUUUUGGCAGAUGAACAGAUGGUAGUUGAACAUAUAUUACCUCUGCUUCUUGUAAUAUCUGCUAUGCGCUGCGGAAGAAGAAAGCGAAAAUUUAACAAAAAUUAGGAUUAGAUCAUCAGAGGGACUCUUAAACAAAGAAAAAAAGAAAAAGAAAGAACAAAUGUGCAUAGAGAGGAGGAUUUCAUGGGAGUACAAUGCCAUGGACAGAUCAGCUGAUGAAGAAUGCAUGUCCUUCUUUUUGGCUCUUCCAUUGAACACAUGCUGAAAAAGAAGAAGCUUAGUUAGGGGGUUAUAUUAGAUCAUUUGAAAUUGUGAGAUUGUUGUGAUUUAAACACCUCUUUUUCUGCAUCUAAAUAUCUGGGUAGAAAACAAAUCCGGGUAGAAAGUAUGGUCUCUGCUUUUUGUAUUGCAUGCUAUGCUCUGCCGAAGAAUAGACUUCACACUAAAUCUACAUUAUUCGAUUUUGUUUUAUUGAAUCAAAUAGAAAAUAGAAGAAAAGAAAUGAGUGAUAUGAAUUACCUGCCAUUC